rnacentral:rRNA from 1 species
UACGUAGGGGGCAAGCGUUGUCCGGAUUUAUUGGGCGUAAAGAGCGUGUAGGCGGCCUGGUAGGUCAGCUGUGAAAACUCGAGGCUCAACCUCGAGACGCCGGUUGAAACCAUCAGGCUAGAGUCCGGAAGAGGAGAGUGGAAUUCCCGGCGUAGCGGUGAAAUGCGCAGAUAUCGGGAAGAACACCCGUGGCGAAGGCGGUUCUCUGGGACGGUACUGACGCUGAGACGCGAAAGCGUGGGGAGCGAACAGG